CAGUCGCCGCGGUAAUACAGAGGAUGCAAGCGUUAUCCGGAAUGAUUGGGCGUAAAGCGUCUGUAGGUGGCUUUUCAAGUCCGCCGUCAAAUCCCAGGGCUCAACCCUGGACAGGCGGUGGAAACUACCAAGCUGGAGUACGGUAGGGGCAGAGGGAAUUUCCGGUGGAGCGGUGAAAUGCGUAGAUAUCGGAAGGAACACCUGUGGCGAAAGCGGCUCACUGGACCAUUUCUGACGCUGAUGCACGAAAGCUAGGGGAGCAAACAGGAUUAGAUACCCCAGUAGUCCCUGUCUCUUAUAC
rnacentral:rRNA from 1 species